rnacentral:rRNA from 1 species
GAUGAACGCUAGCUACAGGCUUAACACAUGCAAGUCGCGGGGCAGCAUGGGGGUUGCUUGCAAUCCCCGAUGGCGACCGGCGCACGGGUGAGUAACGCGUAUCCAACCUGCCCUUCACCACGGGAUAACCCGGCGAAAGUCGGACUAAUACCGUAUGUUGUCCAUUGACGGCAUCCGAUUUGGACGAAAGGUUUGGCGGUGAAGGAUGGGGAUGCGUCCGAUUAGCUGGACGGCGGGGGGACGGCCCACCGUGGCGACGAUCGGUAGGGGUUCUGAGAGGAAGGUCCCCCACACUGGAACUGAGACACGAUCCAGACUCCUACGGGAGGCAGCAGUGAGGAAUAUUGGUCAAUGGGCGUAAGCCUGAACCAGCCAAGUAGCGUGCAGGAUGACGGCCCUAUGGGUUGUAAACUGCUUUUAUGCGGGGAUAAAGUGGCCCACGUGUGGGUUUUUGCAGGUACCGCAUGAAUAAGGACCGGCUAAUUCCGUG